UGGCAAAGAGAUCUAGUACAUCAAAUGUUUCCUCAUAAAACACUAUGAUUGGAGAUGUAUCUGUUGACUGCUACAUUACCUAAAGAGAAUGUUUAAAGCACAUGUAUAUAGGAGUACUGGUUGCCCAAGAAUAUUCCAGACAGUGUUCCACUUUAAGUGUUUGAAUGGAGUUCUACUUUAUUUAGUGCGUUCAGUUCUGUAAAUAGGGAGUCCUACAGUGUGCCAGUUGAGAACACAAGGCUUCUUACAAGUAAAGCCAGAGUUGAACCUUUGAAAAGGAGUAGAGGUUCACCUGCUAACUUUUUUAGGGAUGUGAGUGGAGUCCCUGCAGUCAGACCCAUUGAGGAAAAGGAAGGCCUGUUGAGGAAAACUCCGGGCAGUAUGAUGGUGUGUGGACAUGCUAUUCAAGGAAGGUGAGGUCCCAGAAGUUGGCCUGAUGCACGUCUCAGAGCUUGGGUUUUAACCUAUCGAAGGUGGGAAGGCAGUACAACAUGGAGUGACAUCAGCACAUCACUCUCACAACGUAGUGGUGCAUCGGAGAUGAGGUAAUUGGUUUUCUGUAAUUUCAGGUGAGAUCAGAGCUGACCAAGGGCAGCAGUAGUAGGGACAAGGAAGGGGGGAAAGUUUCAGAAUAACUAGAAAAAUCAGCCAUUUGCUAUUAAGUAUGUGGGUGGUGAAAUAAGAGGGAAACUUGAAUACAAGUCCCAAAUUUCUGAUAGGGAUUCUAUGAUCUGAGAAUGAGAGCAGGAUACUGGGGGCACAUGUAAUUCCAUUUUGGACAUGUCGAGGUUGGUGCAUCUGUUGUAAGACCUGCAAAUGGCGAGGAUGUCCAACUGGCCUUGGGUUGAAGUCCAACUUGCCAGAGAGUUCAGAGAUAAAGAUGUACUCUUGGGAUUCAUUAGACUGGUUAAAACCAGGACUCUGGGUUUAUUUUGGGUAGCCCCAAAAUAGGGUGUGGGGCAGAAAAAAGGAGGCCUCUAAGUGUGAUGUUGAUGGAUCUGGAGAAUGGGCUGUGAGAGUUGGGGUGGACCAAGAGGGAGUUGGGUCACAGGCUAAGAACAUAGAAGUGUUCUCAGACUCACCUGAAGCAUGUGGACCUUUGCCCAAGCCAUUUCUGUAACUCUGUGGCUGUGGGAAGCUAACCUUAGCAAAAUGUUCAACGAGGAGGUAAAGAGCUUGAAUAUAAAAUGCUUUUUCAAGAAGCUCAGGUGGGUCAAAGGAAGUUUUUAUUGACAAAGGGUGGGAGAGAUUGGAGCAUCUUCUCAUGGAAGAGAAGAGGUCAGUUACCAUUAAAGGAGCUUGUGUUCUGUAGGGCUUGCUGUGUACAGUGGAUUCAACAUCUGUGCGUGGACACAUGCAGGGGUGAAGAUUGUGCCUGGGCCACUGAUGAACUGAGGCACAAGACUAAGUGGCUGUGGGUGACAUUGGCUAAGAGCCCUCCCCCCCCCAACCUGUGUGGAUCUCUUACCUACAGCACUAAAGAUGUCUCCUGGUUUUGAGGGACAAAUUGAAGAUUUAUGGUGAAGAAUGAAUAGUUAAAAUAGAACUGGUUUCUAAAAGACCCUGGGGGGGGGGGGGGGGCGGAAAUCUUGGUGAAAUUAGUUUUUUUUUUUUUCUUUAAUAGGAGUAACACAUUUAGGGGAAAUUAAGGAAAUGAGAUAGAGAAAAACUAAAAUAUUGACGGACUUGGUAUUAAAGAUGUUUGAAGGAUAAUUUUUUUGUGAGGAGUCCAGGACUUUAUUUUUCAUCCAUGUUGUCACAGGGUCCUUCAGCGUGAAUCCCCCUUUUCGGCCUCUCCUGGUAUGUCUUCUGCAGGAACAGUGGUUUUGAUUUCACCUGCACAUGGUGACCCUUGGCUUCAUAUUUAUGGACAGAUUCAUUACUCAGGAUUCGAGUUGCUAUUAAGUGCACGGCACUCUAUUUUAACAGGGUUGUAUCAAGAACCUACUGGGGUUUUCUUAAGAGGCUACAAUAGCAUGCAUUCCUUCAUCAGUGACUUCUGAGCAAUUACUGGGGGCAUAUCGAAAUCAUUGCAACAUAUUUCUAUAUCAAUAAGCUUAUUAUACACCCCCCCCCCCCCGGAAACUUAUCCACAUUCCAGUCUAGCCUAAGGAGGAGAUGUUAUCCCUGACCCUUAUUUGGUGGUGAAGAUAAGGAAAUGCCCACAUCAGAGGAUUGAUUACUUCAUAGGCCCCUGCCCAGCUCCAUGCGGUGCUCCAGUAAUGGGAGGAUUCUGAAUCUCCUAUUGAAUUUUAGCUCCAAGUAAGAUGCUAGCAUUAUUUAUGAAUUUACCUUGUGAGCUAUAAUUCAAAUCCUUAGCCAUUCAAAUGGAAAAAUGAGUCACUAGGAGUAGUGUUUUACUUGGAACCCAUUAAAGCAAUUUAAGUGAAAGUUUUCCAGGUAUAAAUACCCAGUUCUCUGCGGGAGGGCGAGAUGUAGAAAUACCUUUAUGAACGCUCUUGGUGAGCGAGGGAGAGUGCAUGGAUAGUCUUUCAGAGAACUCGGCAGCCGUAAAUCCAUUUAUGAGUAAUUCAAGUAAUAGAGCCUUGCAGCUUAAUGCUAGUUUUUAAUAAUGUUGUUAAAAGAAACGAGAGGUUUAAAUGUAAUGCAUGGAGAAAUGGGGCCAUUACAAACUUGAAUAAGUGUUGUCAGUAGAUCCAGUAGAUUCUUUCAUCAUUUUGUGUAUAUUGAGGUUGUUGAGUUUAAGUUACUCAAAUGGAAAUUCUCUUCCAGAGAAGAGUCCUUUGUUUAUAGUUUAAGGACUGCUGUGGUUUUCCCAGAGCCUCACUUCUCUCCUCAUCCUGGACAAAUAUAUUUGUUCAAAAGUCAACCAGCUGUUCGUUUUAUAUCUUAGGAAGCAAGACUGUAGGCAAGCACCGAAUUUGUGAUUCAGGCUCAAUUCUUACCCUUACCUCCCAUUUCUGUUCCGUGCAGUCACAUGCUGGGUGCCUGGAAGGAAAGUAAUGGAUAGUAAUUUACUCCAGCACCGUGUCCAGCAUAGGACGUUGCACUAAGAGAUGCCCAGAAUAUAUUUGUUGGUAGUUUUUAUGAAGUAAUCCUGCAAGGAACUACUUCUUAUUCUUGACUCCUUCAUGGAGGGGGAAAAAAAAAGCAAAAAAAAAAAAAAAAACCCCAAAACAAAAAUGGAAAAAACCCUUGCAUAUGCUGAAUAUGCAAUAGUCUCAGUAUCUGUGUCUUAGAUGCUUGUCAUUGAUUUAUUUUGGGCAGGUCACUGCUAACAAGCCCUAUAGGAGGUUAGCUGUAAGUUUUUCAUCACUAAUAUUCCAGAACUGCUGAAAUCUAUUGGUCUUAACACUACCCCAGUGCUACACCUGCUAGAAAGCCCUUCUUGAUGUAACAAACCGAUCUUCCUGGAAUUUCAGCCCAUCUGUUUCUCUAUCAGGAGGAAAGGUGGAGGACAAUGAUGGCCCAUAGAAGGCGCACUUCCCAGAGCCUUGUGAGAGGCAGGUGUGAGAAAGGAGAGCCGUGUGCAGGCCCUGGAACAUCCCCUGUAGCUGGGGACCCCACAGUCUGUUCUCUGGUUUUGCCACUCGCUGCUGACUUUCCUGAAAUGGCCCAUAGACACAGGAACGAGCUAUGGGUAGUGGUUUCUGUGGAUUUACGCAUGGACCGUCCAUGCCUCCUGGGAUGCUUUCUGGAUCAGAUCCAGCUGUCACUUCCCAUAGAAAACGUCUAUGUACAUUUAAUGCCUCCACCAGAUCUUUCGGCAGCGGGGUUCCAUUACUGCACGCUCAUUAAUAACGGGAGGGUGGGGGACCAACCUGUGUAAUUGCUAUUUGAAGUUCAUGAGUAGACCUCUAAAGACUUAGUUGGCUUUGAAAUGUGAAUUUAGAAGUUCGUGGUAGGCAAAGCAUAUUUCUGAGGGUUUGUAAUCCGUAAUUCACCCCCUGUACCUCUGCAUGUAAAAUUAACCCUUUCCAAUAGCUACUAUUGUCUGAAUGGGAAAAAGUUGAAAAUUCUUGGCCGAUGGCUGUCUAUGCUCUCAAUUAGCAAAAGUUUUUGUUUUUGUUUUUUUCUACUUGAAAAACUCCAGCAUUUUGGUAGGUUAUGCUCUGCUGGGCUCUGCCAGGUUUUCUGUUGUUGUGUUCAUAUUAGUGGGUUUCAGGGGCUUCCUGUGGUAUGGAGGAAGAACGGGGUACAUUAUUUUCGCUUCUUUGUGUGCAAGCGCACACACACACACACACACACACACACACACACAGGCUUCCUUCUUUCCCACCAGCUGCCAGAUUUGAAUAGCUGUCCCGGUUUGCUCUGUCCUAUACAUUGAAUUUUAGUAGGCUGAGUUGAGCUGAGACCAGCCCAUUAGAGUGAUGGCCAGUUGCCAAACACACCCAAAAAACUUGCUUAAAGAUGUCUGAGGAAACGGUUAACAGAGAACAUGCCUUUGGGGUGUCAGGGCCUUUGAAUUCUUGCUUGUUUUCGCUAAAGGUCUCCCACUAAGGCAGCUUUGAAUUAACAGUGUGAUUUCUUUAUGGGUUUAGUCUCUUUACCAGGGUAACUUAUUCUUAAAAAAAAAAAAAAAUCACUGGCUACUCAGAUAAUGUACUUUAUAAAGAUCUCCCCAUUGUACAGAUGCUGAUAACCCUCCAUGAACAAAAGACUGUUCUGGGUCACCCAAGGGUGUGAUUGGAAUAAAAAUAAAACCGGUUCCCAGUGUCUACUUAACACUUGCUCCAUCAUGCCUGGAAAGCAUGUAGCUUUUCUUGCCACGAGUCUGAGGUAGGGUAGAAAAUGCUUCAUAAAACAUUGUAGAGCUUGGCUGCAUUUUUCAAUGUCCCAGAGAAGAUGUUGGUGGGUAGGAAUCUGUUGUACAGAAGUUAUGGAUCCUUGGUAGUUAAAACUUUAAAAAAAAAAAAAAAAGGCAUUUGAUCAUGCGGACUGAUUUCUGUAGUUGGAUUCUGCUGCCGAGGAGGUCAAGGUGAACACCAUCUGCCUUCAUUGUCACCUGCUCUUGUCCCAUUCCCCUACCCUCACUGCUGUGGGGGUCGGGAGCUCACUGCUGGGUUUUGCCGCGCCUGCAGAAAGCACUCGUGCCUGCUUCUAAGGGACUAAAUUCUUGGCAACCUCCUUAUCUGUAGAGGACUUUAUUUCUAGGAAAUCUAAUUUCAGGAAAAUGAUCGCAUUUCUGAAACUCUUAUGUGAUAGUCUCCCUUGCUUUGAAAAUGAAAGCCUGGGCAUUAAUAUUUUUUCCCUGUUGUGUAGAGUCUUUGAAAUUAAUUUUGUAUUUGUCCACUGGGCAUCCUGCUGAAGUAGGAGUUAAAUCUGAAUUGUGACUUUCAUGUUUCUGUCUUAAAUUGAUCCAUUUAUUUCAACCCAAAUGUGUCCCAGAACUUGUUAUAGUUUGCAUGUAAACAUUCAAAAUCUGUGUGAUGCUGCUAAUCUGAAGAAUGUUUUGCAUUUCUUGUUAAAAAAACAAAAAAACAAAAACCCCUCUUCUUCCUUUACACUUAAAUUAGCACAUUACCAAAAGUGCUGCAUUUCAUGGUACAUUAACAGAAUUUUACUUUAUCCUAACUUGUCAAGGAUUGACAUUCAUUCUUAAACAUGGCAAGCAACAUUUGAGGUCUGUCUUGAACAAGGUUGUGUUUUUCUUAGAAAUAGUGGAUAAGCAGUUCAAAAAUCAGUCUUUUAAAAACUGAAAUUCAUCAUUUAGAAAUGGGCUGGAUAAGGUUUUGAGCAUUUAUGUGAUUUGUUGUUAGAACCACCCAUGACUUGAAGGUUAUGCUCAGUGACAUAUUAUAAAAAUUGGCAUUGACAUUAAUUCACUGUCUCUACCCCUUUUGGGUAGAUGGAUGAUACACACUGCAAGGAGGAUUUACUGGAAAACAUGCUGUAAUCAAAAUUGUCAAAGGCAGCUACAGGUCUGGGACAUGUCAUUUGCAGAUAAACUGAAAUUAUGCAAAAGGGAAAAUAUUUGGAAGGAAAAUAAUUCUCAAUCUCAUUAUUCAGUGUUUAGAAAGACCUACUAGCUAUGAGAUGGUGUUGACUAUAUUUCAUUGAUAGUUAAUUAGUAUCUUUGUAAUGGUAGGAUUUAUUCAAAUCACUGCAUAUUAGGGCAGCAUUUUAGUCUGAAGGUUGUCAAACAUCUUCAUAUUACACUUGGAGCUUUGAAAACUAAUUAGCAAAAAAUGAGAGGAGACAUUAAAUCUAUGUCAACUAAUCAUUUGUAUCAAGGCUGCAACAUCCAGCUUGGGUGUUAAAAGUGCUGUAUGCAUGUUUGAGGGUGCCUGCCCAAGUGGGAGUGUGCAGACCUAUAACUUGUUACCUAACUUUUUUUUUAAUCUACUUGGUUAAACAAAAA